GCCUGCCUGGCUCAGUUGGUGGGGCAUGAGACUCCUAAUCUUGGGGUUGUGAGUUCGAGCCCCACAUUGGGUG
rnacentral:tRNA from 1 species